ACCAGCAGUAUGACUGUUUUUUCCCCAGUAUUUGUAGGAGGCCACCAGAGAGACAGGAUUGCAAGGUUUUAAAUAUGCUAGUGUCAUGAGGUCAUGGAUUUCCUACCUGAAACAGAUAGUGUGACUGCCCUGCUAUAGCCAUGUUUGGCCAGUGUAGGAAUUUUGAGAACAGUGAACACUUAAUACUCAGAUGGCAUUUUGCCACCCCGACAAGGACCAUACCUGCCAUUCCAUUGUAGUUCGCCUUGCCCAGAAGUUUUAAAAUUUUUCUUUCAGCCUGGGAUUUCAAGUGUACUACAGCAUCCUCUUCACCUAUACAAGCGUCUGUUGUUUUAAAAGGAAACUGAUGAAGGAAAAGAGGGAGAAGAAACCAGCUGCCUGGAAGACUGACCCUCUGAGAUGCUCUGGAGCCGUGCAGUUGUUCUCACUGGCAGAUCAGUCCUGUCCCUCCAAUAAAAGAGAGGGUGAUCUUGGUGUGAGAUGUUCUCUUUUGAAGUGUGAUCAAAGCUUUGAGCUCAGGGAUUGCUUAGCAAGGUGGAAUUCUUUCUUUCUCUUGAGAGUUUAAAUGACCUCUGUAAUUGAUAGGCAUCGUAGUCACAAAAUGAAGUUUUGAAGUGGAGAAGAUAAAAGGUCACUACCUUGGAAAAUAGUGAGAAUUUCUUUCCUUUGGUGUUGCCUUCAUUUCACACUUGAUAAUUCUGUAAGGUUCUGAUUGUCACCCUGCAGCAGUUUCCAUAUGACUCAGAAAAAGCCCCCAGGCUCUUGCUACCCAGCUUGAGAUCAUUAAAAUGCUUGAGUGAACUUUGGAGUUCCUGUCUGUUGAAUAGAGAUGACACUGACCAGAGAGGGAAACUUACGUAGGAGGUGUGUCUGGGUCAGGCAUCAAAAUGCU
rnacentral:lncRNA from 1 species